rnacentral:rRNA from 1 species
UACGUAGGGUGCAAGCGUUGUCCGGAAUUAUUGGGCGUAAAGAGCUCGUAGGCGGUCUGUCACGUCGGCUGUGAAAACCCGAGGCUCAACCUCGGGCCUGCAGUCGAUACGGGCAAACUAGAGUACUGCAGGGGAGACUGGAAUUCCUGGUGUAGCGGUGAAAUGCGCAGAUAUCAGGAAGAACACCCGUGGCUAAGGCGGCUCUCUAGUACGUGACUGGACGCUGAGACGCGAAAGCGUGGGGAGCGAACAGG